UGGGGGAUAACAUUUGGAAACAGAUGCUAAUACCGAAUAAAACUUAGUGGCGCAUGGACAUAAAGUUAAAAGGCGCUUCGGCGUCACCUAGAGAUGGAUCCGCGGUGCAUUAGUUAGUUGGUGGGGUAAAGGCCUACCAAGACAAUGGAUGCAUAGCCGAGUUGAGAGACUGGAUCGGCCACAUUGGGACUGGAGACACGGCCCAAACUCCUACGGGAGGCUGCAGUAGGGAAUCUUCCACAAUGGGGCGAAAGCCUGGAUGGAGCAACGCCGCGUGGUGUGAUGAAGGCUUUCGGGUCGUAAAGCACUGGUUGUAUGGGGAAGAACAGCUAGAAUAGGAAAUGAUUUUAGUUUGACGGUACCAUACCAGAAAGGGACGGCUAAAUACGUGCCAGCAGCCGCGGUAAUACGUAUGUCCCGAGCGUUAUCCGGAUUUAUUGGGGCGUAAAGCGAGCGCAGACGGUUUAUUAAGUCUGAUGUGAAAGCCCGGAGCUCAACUCCGGAAUGGCAUUGGAAAACUGGUUAACUUGAGUGCAGUAGAGGUAAGUGGAACUCCAUGUGUAGCGGUGGAAUGCGUAGAUAUAUGGAAGAACACCAGUGGCGAAGGCGGCUUACUGGACUGCAACUGACGUUGAGGCUCGAAAGUUGGGUAGCAAACAGGAUUAGACCUGGUAGUCCACACCGUAAACGAUGAACACUAGGUGUUAGGAGGUUUCCGCCUCUUAGUGCCGAAGCUAACGCAUUAAGUGUUCGCCUGGGGAGUACGACCGCAAGGUUGAAACUCAAAGGAAUUGACGGGGACCCGCACAAGCGGUGGAGCAUGUGGUUUAAUUCGAAGCAACGCGAAGAACCUUACCAGGUCUUGACAUCCUUUGAAGCUUUUAGAGAUAGAAGUGUUCUCUUCGGAGACAAAGUGACAGGUGGUGCAUGGUCGUCGUCAGCUCGUGUCGUGAGAUGUUGGGUUAAGUCCCGCAACGAGCGCAACCCUUAUUGUUAGUUGCCAGCCAUUCAGAUGGGCCACUCUAGCGAGACUGCCGGUGACAAACCGGAGGAAGGCGGGGACGACGUCAGAUCAUCAUGCCCCUUAUGACCUGGGCUACACACGUGCUACAAUGGCGUAUACAACGAGUUGCCAACCCGCGAGGGUGAGCUAAUCUCUUAAAGUACGUCUCAGUUCGGAUUGUAGUCUGCAACUCGACUACAUGAAGUCGGAAUCGCUAGUAAUCGCGGAUCAGCCACGCCGCGGUGAAUACGUUCCCGGGUCUUGUACACACCGCCCGUCACCUACCCAUGGGAGUUUGUAAUGCCCAAAGCCGGUGGCCUAAC
rnacentral:rRNA from 1 species